AUGGUUGAGCCUCAUGGCUCUACUACUGGGAGACGUGGGCGUAAGACUCCUCGAGAGUCAGAUACUCUCGAGGAGCGAGAAAGGAAGCGGCUGCGAGAUAUCUUUGCAGAACCAUCUGACGAAGAUUCUUUUGAGAGUUUUACUGAGAGAAUGGAGGAAGAGGUGGUUAGCUCGGAAGAAGAUGAUAUGGAAUGGACUCGGGUAAGGGAGGAUUUGGGUGCCACUGGCAAUGAUACUAUGGAAGACGAUUGGGGACCUUCAGGAUUAGACCCGUGGACAAGCUGGAGGGAUGGGACGGGAUCCACAGCUGGGGAUGCUGUGGGGCGUAGUCAGAGGUGUUCCAGUUCUGAUGAGGAAAGUGAUGAGGAAACGCCCGGGCUAAGGAGAACAGCUGAUAGCGAUGAGGACUUGUAACUGGCAUAAAAUGGGGUUUGGGAGCAAUAGCAAAUUGCAUUGGGCAAGGUAAUCUGGACGAACGCUUGGGAUCUGUGUGGGAAGUUUUCCUGAAGACGGGUGUGAUUCGUUUGCUGACUACCUUUGACCUUCCGUCGUCUUCUUGACGGACGCCAUCUGCUACUCUGGAUUUACGGACUGAACUGACUACGGCCUCGGAUUCUCCUACCUGUGUUUGUCGUUGGAACUGGUGAACUACAAACGUCUGCAUCUGCCUUACGACCUUCGGAACGGACUGGGACUACGCUGACUGCUUCAACCCUCGUCUGCUGUGUUUGUAUUGGGAAUUUGCCUGCUGUGUGGAGGAGUAACCUCUAAGUUACUCAAACAUAGUUUUUGGCAGCAGAGAAGCAUCUGCUGCCAAUUAGUUGCAUUCUUUUGAACCUUUUGUUCACCAGCUUCUGUUUGUUUAAUUCCAGGCUGAAGCAAGCUGUUUUGAUUUAGUCCGAAUUAAACUCCGGUUUAAUUCGGUUUAUCUUUUGAACGUUUUUCUUGUCUCUUUUUACUUUUAAGGCCAGUGUUUGCCUAGCCCUUGUCUUUUACGGGCAUUUUUGGUUCUGUAACUCCAAUAAACUCUGUUAUCUUUUA